UAAUACGAAGGGGGCUAGCGUUGUUCGGAAUUACUGGGCGUAAAGCGCACGUAGGCUGACAUUUAAGUCAGGGGUGAAAUCCCGAGGCUCAACCUCGGAACUGCCCUUGAUACUGGGUGUCUCGAGUCCGGAAGAGGUUAGUGGAAUUCCCAGUGUAGAGGUGAAAUUCGUAGAUAUUGGGAAGAACACCAGUGGCGAAGGCGGCUAACUGGUCCGGUACUGACGCUGAGGUGCGAAAGCGUGGGGAGCAAACAGG
rnacentral:rRNA from 1 species